CCUUAAAAAGGAGUGACGGGCGAUUUGUGCAUGCUAAAUGGCAUUUUCAGAAAAAAAUUCUAUUUAUUCUUUUUUUUAAGUUCUUUUUCAUUUAUUUUCAAUAUCAAAUUCAUUCCAAAUGUAUGUAUCCCCAAAAUCAAAAUUAUUAGCUCUGUCUCGAUUUGCUUUCCCACUUCUAAAGUUUAAAAAAGAAACUUUUUCUUUUCCUUCUUCACACAAUGAUAUAGAGGCUGAUAAACUUUGUCUCUUAAAACGUGUAUUGACGAUUCUUUUCUAGGACCCCCUAAGUUGUUUUAGCACCGCCAUUAUACAUCGAUUUCCUUUAUUUAACUACUCUCUCUAACUUUUUCUUAAAA
rnacentral:rRNA from 1 species